GUGAGGUUUCAGCAGAGUGGGCAUGAGUUUUGGGGAUCCACCAAGAUUCCCUUUUUGGGUGCUAUCACCCUGACUUUACCUUGGGGAAUCUUUCUUUCCUUGUCAUUAGUCCACAUGGUUCUGAAGGGAUUAUUUCAUCCUUGACGCCAGAGGGUGUCACAGGACUCCGGAUUGGCCAAUGAGAUCAGCACAUUGCCCUGGCAACUGUGAUUGGUUUGGAACAAUCACAUGACUCAAGCCCGAGCCAUCAGAGCUGAUGAACCUUUUCCCUGGCACCACUGCUGGAACUGUCUGGAAUGAGACUCUUUCCUUUGGGAUGUCUGAGCAGGGAGGACGGGAGGCUAGAGCUUUGGGGGCCAUAUUGGUCAUGAUUUGGAAAGAGAAUGUAUGAGAGUGAAGCCAAUGCAAAGACCCAGCUUGACCAGUGGGGCUGUGGAAGCUGCAAGCUGCAGAUAAGAUGGGAGAGGAGGAUAAGGAAGAAUGUCACACAAUUCAAAGGAACGGCACAUGGAAUUACAUUCACGACGGACACAGACACAAAUAAUGAUGAUAAUGAGUGGGUAUCCUCUGACCUCUGCGCCUUGGCAGGCCUGAUGCGGAGUGUGUUUCAUGGAUCAUCUUACUGGAUCCAGACAGCAGCCGUAGGAGGCGGAUGUGGAAGCCCUGGCUCAGAGAGACACAGCGCUUUCUCCAAGAACAC
rnacentral:lncRNA from 13 species